GAUGAACGCUGGCGGCGUGCCUAAUACAUGCAAGUCGAGCGAACGGACGAGAAGCUUGCUUCUCUGAUGUUAGCGGCGGACGGGUGAGUAACACGUGGAUAACCUACCUAUAAGACUGGGAUAACUUCGGGAAACCGGAGCUAAUACCGGAUAAUAUUUUGAACCGCAUGGUUCAAAAGUGAAAGACGGUCUUGCUGUCACUUAUAGAUGGAUCCGCGCUGCAUUAGCUAGUUGGUAAGGUAACGGCUUACCAAGGCAACGAUGCAUAGCCGACCUGAGAGGGUGAUGGGCCACACUGGAACUGAGACACGGUCCAGACUCCUACGGGAGGCAGCAGUAGGGAAUCUUCCGCAAUGGGCGAAAGCCUGACGGAGCAACGCCGCGUGAGUGAUGAAGGACUUCGGAUCGUAAAACUCUGUUAUUAGGGAAGAACAUAUGUGUAAGUAACUGUGCACAUCUUGACGGUACCUAAUCAGAAAGCCACGGCUAACUACGUG
rnacentral:rRNA from 1 species